rnacentral:misc_RNA from 1 species
CGCUCUCUCUCUCUCUCUCUCUGCCUCUUUUCUUGAUCUCAAGCGCUACCCUCUUGAGUACUUUUCAUUUAUCAUCUUUUUUGCCUUAAUCUUUGCAUAAUCAUGGCUGGCUUAGUGUAUUUGGUGCUUUUAUUGGCACUUACUGGCCAUUCAAGUAAGCUUUUGGGUUAUUAUUGUUCUUUUUUUUUUUUGAGAUGGGUUCUUGAUCUUCUCUCUUUAAUAACUUGGGUUUUUUCUUUUAGUAUGAUUUAGCUGAAAGUAAGAGAGUUAAGAGAGUUCUUCUCCUUUUCUUUCUUCAUCUGAGGAAAAUUUCUCACCUAAAGUUUGUUUCUUUUCUUCAUUUUUUUCAAGAAAUUUGGGAGAUGAAUCCUCCUUAUUGAGAAAAGAGAUUCAGAAGAAGAAACAUUUGAUUUUGUGAGAUCUAAACUGUCCAUUUUCUUGAUUUGUGCUUGCAGGUGCUGCUACUUACUGCUUAUGUA